UAGCCUCACCAUGCUUCACUCUUCUUCACUUCUCAACUCUCAUAGAAACCAUUGUGAUCACAGAGAGUAGUAUAUAGAUAUCUGUAGCUAAACUCCAAUGGAGGAGAAUGGAGAAAUUCUCAUAUUCUCAAACAAGAAGAGAAUCAAACAGCAGCAUCAACAUAAAAGUUUGUGCUCACAGCGAAUCAGCGAAUUACCAGAUUUCCACAUUAUGACUCAUCUUCAAAUUCCUAUAACAUUCGUGGAUGCAGCCAGAUGAGGUGGGAUUGUAUAACCAGUGCUUUGUGUUGAUUACGAGAUGCAAUUAAGGAAUCGACAUGAAAGCAUUGGUUAACUUUGGCUUGAGCAUAGCGUCAAAGAGCUUGAAGUCUGCUUCUCGAAAGAAAAACAGUUCAGCGUCUUUGAUCAGAAUGGUUGGUAGUGAUGCUUGCUUUUAGCUUGACCACUGCUUGCUCAUUCACAUGCUCAAGAUAUCCCAAGAAGAUUCCUAGUGCCUGUCAGUCACAAGGAAAAUUACUGACCAUCUAUUUCUUCCAGUGAGCCACACACGAAGCCGGUGUGCAUAAUGAUGCUGACAGGGGAUCAGGAUUCAGGGGGUAUUGACACAGGGAGAUCAGUAAGACAAGACCAUAUUGUUGUUCUGAUGACAGAUGGAAAUCAGUUUCAAAGAAAUCGUUUUUGCCUGAAAACAUGUGAUAUGCAUGACUCUAUUAGGUAUGCUGGGCAAGCCAAAGUAAGGUUGGAGAGAGAGAGAGAGAGAGAUUUUGGAUUUAAGUGUCUUUGAAUUGAGGUAUGUUCAGCAAUUGCUUCAAUAUAGUCACCUAUUUCAUUCUCCAGUUAACUUCUCGUAAAAUCAGCUAUUUUUGCUUAUACACUUGUUAAUCUCCCCAAAGUAGUUUUCAACCUUACUAAAAACUUAGUAAGUGAGCAACAUUCAUAAUUAAAUAAAUAAAUAAAAAUGUAUGGAAAAAAUUGUAAAACAAAUACACGUGUGAAAGUCUUGGCACACAUUUACAACAAAGAAGUUGACAAAAGUGAAAGAAUGAUUUAUUAGAUAUGUUAUAUGCCAUUAAUAAUAAUAAUUUCAAAUUCUUAUAUUCACAAUUUCAAUAUAACAAAUCAACAUAAUUAUUGGUGACAACUGUUUGUAGCUGUAGCAGGAUUUAAAGAUUCACUAAUUCGGUAAGUAUGAAAAUUAAUGUUGAUAUUCUAUAUAUUAGAAAGAUUGUCCUAAAACUGUGUUUUCUAGUUUUUUAGAUGAUUUUCCAUGAAAUAUGUUGGAUAUAUAGUAACUGGAGUGUUAUCAGUGAAAGAGACAUACAUGUAACUUCUAAAUCGAACCUGAUUGCCUUUUUUUUUUUGCCUAUGAUUUUGUGAUUGGAUUGUUGAUGACUAUUGAUUUUAUAAUAAAUCAAGUUUAUGCAUGGCUUGAAUAAGCCUUACGUGUACCACAUGGAAGUAUUACCCAAUGAUAGUCUGUUAGCUCUCGUCUUGUAAUACAAAGCCAAUAGUAUCACCUAGUCCUAUUUGGUUUUAGUUGUCUCCAUAGAAAGUCUCAUAACCAGCUCUAUGUUUUCUCAUGAGCCAGUCCUUGUAAUUUGGCAAAAGAUAACACAUUGAGUGUGUUUGCAGUUUAGGUUUUGUCAGAGUUUUGCACCAGUCUUUUCCUUUCCUUAUUUCCUGAGUGAAACUUUCUAUUCAACACCGUCGCUUGUGGAUGUAGGUCUAGGGUCAAACCAUGUAAAUCUUUGUGGUCCAAUUGCAAUCGUUUAUUCUAUUUUUCUAUUUCUAUUCCACAUAACACAUCUAUAAUUUAUUACACUCACAAAAAUGGUAUCAGAGCCUUCAUUAUCUUAAAUCAAUCUGCCCAAACAAAAUAUAAACAUCAUGCCAUAGGUUCUUAUUCAAUAGAGCUAUGACCAAGUAAAGUUCAUGUCCUAGUAAUAGGGCAUUGUUAUUAUUUGGAUAAUUAGCUUCUUUAUGAAUAUUUUGACUUAAGUUGCAAUAGAUUAUUUUGAGUGCCUGUGACCUUCCCCCCGGUUCUAUCCCUGUUUGAUUUCCCAUAUCAUGCAGGGUUGAACCACAAUUUUUGGCAUAAUAAUACAUAGAGAGAGCUGGUGCCAAAAGGCCACAGGCAUUAAAAAUCAUGUGCAUAUUGCAUAGUUCCUAAUUGUCAAUUCUGGCUCCCAAAACCUACAGGACUUUGCAGGACAUAGAGGCAGGGGUCAGCCAUGAUUUUUGGAGCCAUGCCCUUCAAUGUCUAGUUGGUUUGGAAUAUCAAUCACACCAUAGAAAUAUAUUUGAGCACUAAUAUGAUGACUACUGCAUCAAAGGAACCCAUGUUUUGAUAAAUGCUAUGCACCUAUAAAAAAAAAAUGUUUUGAUGAAUGCUUUGCAAUUGGCCAUAUUAUCUUCUAACUCGGCCCACUUAACUAACUAAAUCAAUGUAGCAUAUUGCUAAACCAUAGCAUUUGGGCAUAUACAUAUAGACAUAUAUGGGAAGUAUAUAGAGUAAGAUAUCAAAGGAACUUAAGAAGGAAACUUAUGAAGAUCCACUGUCAACUUGCUAAGUGUUCAGCAGCCAAUUAGUGGCUUAUUGACUUGUUAAGUGUUCAGCAGCCCAUUAGUGGGUUCUUUAAGUCAUCUGUAUUAUGCCAUGUGUUGAUAGAUCCACUGUCAACUUGCUUGCAUGGAAGGUAGUAGCUCUAUUUUUUUUUUUUUUUUCAUGCAGAGGUACGGUGUCUAUUUUCAUUCAUCAAAGUGUUGGAAAGGACUUGGGAUGUGUUUAUAAUUUUUCAACCUUGGGACUGGAUUUCUUGAUUUGUUCUAGACUUUAUUGAACACAUGCUCAAACCUGAAUUCAUCGUUGAAUAUGUUCUUAAUAUUAUUUAUACUAUAAAAAAUUGUGAAAUAUGUUCUUAAUAUCUAUUCCUAUUGAUUGCUUUACUAUUUCUAAGAAAAUUGUUAUAGAAGUAUGUUGCCAAUUUCAGCAAGCCCAUUCUACAUUCUGAACCAAAUUGACAUAUUCAAGGCUAUCCAACUUUAGUGAGUAUGGGUGUCUUCCCUGGUUAAAUGAUAGGUAUACUUCUACCACUUAUCAUCCUCAGUCACAAGUCUACACUACAUGUUUUCAGACCAACUUGGAUCAUAAGUUGAUAUGUGCCAAUUUAGUUGAGUUUUUUUUUUUUUUUUUUUUUUUUUUUUUUUUUGAGAGCAUGUAUAAAAUAACUUUGAUUACACAAAUCCUGCAUCAAUUGUGAAAAGAAAGCAAGUUUAUGGACAGUUUAGUUGAACAGAAGGGGAAGAAAAAAGAGAAUGUUUCCCCCUAAAGAUACAACUUUAAAUUCUUGUAUAGAG